GCGGGGGUGGCAGAGCCUGGUCAAAUGCGCAGGACUUAAGAUCCUGUUCCUUAGUGGAUACGAGGGUUCAAAUCCCUUCCCCCGCA
rnacentral:tRNA from 1 species